GGAAUGUGGAUCUAAAUUACUGUGUUAUGUUACCUUGUUGAAAUCUUAUUGCUAAAAUUUUGCACUGCUAGGCAGUAAACCAGAAGAAAAAAAAUAAAUUGAGAAAGUGUUAAUUUUUAAGCAAGUUUGACAAAGAUUGAGUUUCAUAUGACAAAUAUUGUCAGCAAGACAGGAUUCUGUCAGUGGAAGAAGUUUAAACAUUAACAAUUUCUGUCAGGCUGUUGACACAAUCAUGGCAGACAUUUCCCAAGAUGCCGAGAUGACUGCUGGCAUUUGUCAACAAUCCUGUCAUAGUGACAGCAAUAAGACCAUGUCUGGAAAUGUGACAGUUUUGGCUUUGUGCUCCCCUGAGCAAUAGCCCAGGUGUUCAGAGAAAGUGUGGGAAAACCCAUAUUUCUGCAUUGUCAUUCGAACACAGAAAACACAGGAGGAAAAUGAGCUGUCACUCCAAUUCCCAUGAUGCCUUGCUGCUUAGCAUAACUCUACAGUGCGGCCCUGGGUCCACUGGUCCAUAUUCUGACAGAUAAUUAAGAAAGCAGCAGCUUUUUCUAGACGGCUCUUCCUCAUGAUUUGCAUUUUAGCCAGAGGCGACCAGUUAUAAAAAAACAUGAUGGAAAGAUGGUAAGAAGCCAAUUAGAUGGAUGGAUGGCUGACUGACAGCUCUCUGGUAUUACGACUCCAGAUUUCAGACUACAUAGCCUGGCAGUUUUCUACAAGAACCAACUUUUUGCAGCUCAAACCCUGGAGGGGUCAGCGGACUAACUGGGACCAACAGCCAUUAGCGAGGUACCAAGAAGCACAAGCAAAGAAAGAAGAUACAAGUGAUUCAAAUCUCAACAUCCUUAAAGGAAUUCUGAUUUCAAGUUUGAAAUAA
rnacentral:lncRNA from 1 species